rnacentral:rRNA from 1 species
GACGUAGGGCGCGAGCGUUGUCCGGAUUUAUUGGGCGUAAAGAGCUCGUAGGCGGCUUGUUGCGUCGACCGUGAAAACCCGGGGCUCAACUUCGGGCUUGCGGUCGAUACGGGCGGGCUAGAGUUCGGUAGGGGAGACUGGAAUUCCUGGUGUAGCGGUGAAAUGCGCAGAUAUCAGGAGGAACACCGGUGGCGAAGGCGGGUCUCUGGACCGACACUGACGCUGAGGCGCGAAAGCGUGGGGAGCAAACAGG